rnacentral:rRNA from 1 species
GGCUAAACCAUGCACCGAAGCUGCGGCAGCGACGCUUAUGCGUUGUUGGGUAGGGGAGCGUUCUGUAAGCCUGCGAAGGUGUGCUGUGAGGCAUGCUGGAGGUAUCAGAAGUGCGAAUGCUGACAUAAGUAACGAUAAAGCGGGUGAAAAGCCCGCUCGCCGGAAGACCAAGGGUUCCUGUCCAACGUUAAUCGGGGCAGGGUGAGUCGACCCCUAAGGCGAGGCCGAAAGGCGUAGUCGAUGGGAAACAGGUUAAUAUUCCUGUACUUGGUGUUACUGCGAAGGGGGGACGGAGAAGGCUAUGUUGGCCGGGCGACGGUUGUCCCGGUUUAAGCGUGUAGGCUGGUUUUCCAGGCAAAUCCGGAAAAUCAAGGCUGAGGCGUGAUGACGAGGCACUACGGUGCUGAAGCAACAAAUGCCCUGCUUCCAGGAAAAGCCUCUAAGCAUCAGGUAACAUCAAAUCGUACCCCAAACCGACACAGGUGGUCAGGUAGAGAAUACCAAGGCGCUUGAGAGAACUCGGGUGAAGGAACUAGGCAAAAUGGUGCCGUAACUUCGGGAGAAGGCACGCUGAUACGUAGGUGAAGCGACUUGCUCGUGGAGCUGAAAUCAGUCGAAGAUACCAGCUGGCUGCAACUGUUUAUUAAAAACACAGCACUGUGCAAACACGAAAGUGGACGUAUACGGUGUGACGCCUGCCCGGUGCCGGAAGGUUAAUUGAUGGGGUUAGCGGUAACGCGAAGCUCUUGAUCGAAGCCCCGGUAAACGGCGGCCGUAACUAUAACGGUCCUAAGGUAGCGAAAUUCCUUGUCGGGUAAGUUCCGACCUGCACGAAUGGCGUAAUGAUGGCCAGGCUGUCUCCACCCGAGACUCAGUGAAAUUGAACUCGCUGUGAAGAUGCAGUGUACCCGCGGCAAGACGGAAAGACCCCGUGAACCUUUACUAUAGCUUGACACUGAACAUUGAGCCUUGAUGUGUAGGAUAGGUGGGAGGCUUUGAAGUGUGGACGCCAGUCUGCAUGGAGCCGACCUUGAAAUACCACCCUUUAAUGUUUGAUGUUCUAACGUUGGCCCCUGAUCGGGGUUGCGGACAGUGUCUGGUGGGUAGUUUGACUGGGGCGGUCUCCUCCUAAAGAGUAACGGAGGAGCACGAAGGUUGGCUAAUCCUGGUCGGACAUCAGGAGGUUAGUGCAAUGGCAUAAGCCAGCUUGACUGCGAGCGUGACGGCGCGAGCAGGUGCGAAAGCAGGUCAUAGUGAUCCGGUGGUUCUGAAUGGAAGGGCCAUCGCUCAACGGAUAAAAGGUACUCCGGGGAUAACAGGCUGAUACCGCCCAAGAGUUCAUAUCGACGGCGGUGUUUGGCACCUCGAUGUCGGCUCAUCACAUCCUGGGGCUGAAGUAGGUCCCAAGGGUAUGGCUGUUCGCCAUUUAAAGUGGUACGCGAGCUGGGUUUAGAACGUCGUGAGACAGUUCGGUCCCUAUCUGCCGUGGGCGCUGGAGAACUGAGGGGGGCUGCUCCUAGUACGAGAGGACCGGAGUGGACGCAUCACUGGUGUUCGGGUUGUCAUGCCAAUGGCACUGCCCGGUAGCUAAAUGCGGAAGAGAUAAGUGCUGAAAGCAUCUAAGCACGAAACUUGCC